UGCUUCGGCCGGGAAUCGAACCCGGGGCGCCCGCCACUAUAAUAUAUAAAUGAGUUUUAAAAAUUGUAAAAAAAAAAAACAUGGCAGGCGAGCAUUCUACCACUGAACCAAAACCAGAGA